rnacentral:tRNA from 1 species
CGGUUAGCUCAGAGGUUAGAGCGCCUCGUUCACACCGAGGAGGUCGCAGGUUCAAAUCCUGCAUCGCC